AAAUAGUUCAACAGCUUCAGUAGUUUGUAUAUCCAGAUUACUUCCCUUUGUAUCGUUAUGACGGUUAUGGUAUCGUUAUGACGGUUAUGGUAUCGUUAUGACGGUUAUGGUAUCGUGCACGACAGUUCCACUAUAAUAUGUAGAUAUGUUGUUUGAUGAAUUAUGUAUGAUUGCGUUCAAUCUGUAUGACCACUCCUUAACACCGCAGCAUUGUAUAACUCUGGUGCAGGCUGGAACCUCGGAAUUGAUGCACUAUAUACAGUAGAACCAUUGUAGGUUAAAUUUAGCUAACAAAUAUUAAAUGCUCUAACGAGUGUGGCAUCCUUCCACACGAAAAU
rnacentral:lncRNA from 1 species